UGCCAGCCGCCGCGGUAAUACGGAGGGGGCUAGCGUUGUUCGGAAUUACUGGGCGUAAAGCGCGCGUAGGCGGUUUAUCAAGUCAGACGUGAAAUCCCCGGGCUCAACCCGGGAACUGCGUUUGAUACUGGUUGACUAGAGGCCGGGAGAGGGUAGUGGAAUUCCCAGUGUAGAGGUGAAAUUCGUAGAUAUUGGGAAGAACACCGGUGGCGAAGGCGGCUACCUGGACCGGACCUGACGCUGAGGUGCGAAAGCGUGGGGAGCAAACAGGAUUAGAUA
rnacentral:rRNA from 1 species